GUGCUCUUCUAUGGAUACAUUCCAAUCUUUCUGUGCCUUUCCUAAAAUCUGAUACACAGAACUAAAAUCUCUAUUCCUUCCCAAAAAAUUGUUAGUUAGGGGGCCAGCUGAGUGGCUUAGUGGUUUGAGAACCAGGUCUAGAGAUGGGAGGUCCUAGGUUCAACUCUGGCCUCAGACACUUCUCAGCUGUGUGACCCUGGGUAAGUCACUUACCCCCAUUGCUUAGCUCUUACCACUCUUUUGCCUUGGAACCAAUACACCAGGGGUCCCCAAACUAUGGCCCUUGGGCCACAUGUAGCCCCCUGAGGCCAUGUAUCGGGCCCCCACCACACUUCUGGAUGGGGCACCUCUUUCAUUGGUGGUCAGUGAGAGGAGCUCUGUAUGUGGUGUCACUCACCUACAGUACUACUUCUGGUGACGUAAUCCUUUGUAUGGUGCCUUAGAAUGAGGUGCUGCACAAAGGAUUAUGUGGCUUCACAAUGGAAGAUGUCAGCAUGGUGAGCAGCGAUCUGGGGGAGGGAAUUCUGCACUGUGUAUACUGCUGCCCAGUUAGGGUUAGAGUUAGGCUUUUAUAGUCCUCCAAUGAUCUGCGGGACAGUGAACUGGCCCCCUGGGUAAAAAGUUUGGGGACCCCUGCCACACAGUAUAGAUUCUAAGGCAGAAGGACUUUUCAAUUGGAAGGAAUAUCAGAAAUCAUGUAGUCCAGUGUCCCCGGAGAAGAGAAUGACAGGCCACUCCAGCACCUUUGCCAAGAAAACUCCAAAUGAGAUCAUGAAGAGUAGGACAUGAUGGAAAACAAGUGAAGGACAACAAAAGUCAGCCUCCAAAUCCUACCGAAAUCUGCCCCACAACAUCCCUAAUAGGUAACAUCUUUGGACCUGGAGUGUUAUUCCUAAAAGUGUUUAUCAGAAGAUAGGUGGCAUGUGAAAUGGACUAUGAAGGAAGGCUACAUAGUGAAAUGGAUAAAGAGUUGGCCUUUGGGUUAGGAAGAACUGGGUUUAAGUCUCUCUUUAGACAAAUACUGGCUCUGAGAUCCUGGACAAGUUUCAUCAUUGUUAUUACGAGGAUGAAGAAGUGGCUAAAAUGGUUCUCCUGACUUUUGGGGGUGUAUGCUUCCUUGAAUAGAAAGGCAGAAAAAUCUUAAAGAAAAUGAGAAGGGCUCCAUAUCAGUACAGCCAAUGAAGAAUAUAGAAGGGUGUCUCGGCAGGAGAAGCAGUUCUAUAAAAAGAUUCAGAUGGAGAUUGCCAGCAAGACAUUGUUUGCUAUAUGUAUACAAACUAGAUAAAGACUUUGGAAACGAGGGGAAAAAGACAGGCUAAACAGAACACAUGAGAAGACAGUAAAGGAAAAAGUAGUUAGAAUAAAGGUGAGAAGAAAACCA
rnacentral:lncRNA from 1 species